CUCAAACUCGCCACGUGUGGCGCAUGUUUCAAACACAAGGGCGUUUCGUUAAACUGAAAGGCCUAACUGGGAGGGAAAACGAAGAUUAAAAUGGCGCUAAGGCGGCAAAUGUAGCUAUUUUACCAAAACCUGUCCCGUCUCUCUUCCUCAGCAGUCACUCUCCGUCGCUGCUCCAAGCGAAUGGUUACAUUCAUCGAAGUGAGGCUGUUGGUUAUUGUCGCCUGAGCACUCUCAUAUAGUCAUCUGUGCUUUCUGGGAACGGUGGUGGUUAUUUUAAGGCACCAUUUGCGAAUCAUUAGAAUUCUUGCCUUUUGCCUUGUUUAACUUGCUGGCGGGGAAAUGCAGCCUGGCUAUCAAAGGACGAGGUGCCCGUGUCUUCUGGUCAAAUCCUCUCACGCAAACAUAUCCUACAAUCCAUCAACGUGCACAAUUAAGGAACAGCCGACUUACAUGCUUGAGCUUGGGUGUGGGAAUGGAAGCUGCUUCCGAUGUCAGAGCAACCAACGCUUUUGACAUAUCACCUUCUUGAAGUUCCAUAUUUUCUUGCAUGUAGUUCUGCAAAUUUUGAGUGAACU